rnacentral:lncRNA from 1 species
UUCAAUCAGGUGAAUAGACCUGUAUUUGCUUUGAAAAGACUCUAAAACAUGAUUAAUACAUCUUAAAACCUUUAUAUACCAUGUAUAAAAGCGGGUGAAAAUCAUGGUAUAUCAACUCCCCCAGACUUAUCUUCUGACUUGUCCUCAAGUUAAACCAAUGGACAAUCUCUCUGGAAGAGGGUUGAAAACAUCAGGGACUCACAGAUUUGAAAUAUUGAAGUCAUCACCUCUAUAAUAUUGCAUUCCACAUCUAAGGUUCCUUCUUACAGAUAUACAUUAUGCAAUAUCCUAUCUUAGCAACCAAAAUCAUCUAGCCAACAAUCUUAACCAAUCUUAUUAUCAAUCUCCUCAACCAACCUCAUUUCUUAAUGUAAAAAGUGUAGGCUUUACCUUGGGAGUAUCGAUCACAGGAUGCAAGGAUUUCAGACAAGUAUUUGGAGCUGCAGGUAAAAGUUAGUUCCUAGUUUCUCUCUCUCUCUAAAUUUCUCUCUUGGGUCAAAGUCUGCUUCCAUUGCAGGAUCAGUGACCAAGAUUGGACAGGCUUCCACGAAUCAAAACUUAAUGGUGGUUGCCACCAAGUUCUGUUCACUUCUUUUUAACCUAUAUCCGAGAGUUCUUUGCGAAAGCGAGCCUUGAAGAUUGCCGCCUCCAAGUCCCGUUUCGAACUCUUUUAUUUGAGUCUUUAUGAAUCAAGCCUUAAUGGUUUUAGCCACCAAGUCCUAUUCAGACUCAUCCUAAUUAAACAUUAGAUCUUUUUUUUUUUUUUUAGAGACAUCUAGGGUCGAAAUCUAGAGAGAGAAAAUGUGAUAAAUAAUCUAAACCAGGCGUUACCUUCCAGACAUGUCUGAAAAAUCCGAUCCCAUGUAUACCAAGCCCCAAAACAAGCAGUGAAGUCAGGUUAGUGUUGGAGGUUAGCUUCGGUUCUUUCUAACAAGUUAGCAAGUGUGCAUAGUUGACUGGUCGAUCCACUUUAGCAUCUAUAGUAUUGUCUGCAGUCAGUAAAUCUAGAAUGGUGCUAGAAAGUGGUUAGACAUUCAAGUAGAAAUCAGUAGUUCAUAAUCCCCUUCUUGACUCAAUAAAAUUAUUUUUGAAAAGAUUUUUGGCAAAAACUCAAGAAAAUGGUGUUAGUAACUACCUCCCCCAGACUUAAAUUGCACCGACCCGGUGCAAAGUGUCAAAGGGUAGGUUAAAAUCAAGUUAGAUGUUUGAGAAAUGUUAGAGUAAAAAGUAAGUACCUAUCCGUACUACCAUCGAUCGAUGUCAUCCUCUCCAUAUUGAUCGAUGUUACUCGCUUAGAAUCGAUC